GCAUAUCAAUAAGCGGAGGAAAAGAAACUAACAAGGAUUCCCCUAGUAACGGCGAGUGAAGCGGGAACAGCUCAAAUUUUAAAUCUGGCUGCUUCGCAGUCCGAGUUGUAAUUUGAAGGCGUCUGUCGCAUGUGAGACGAUGGCACAAGUCCUCUGGAACGUGGCAUCGUAGAGGGUGAGAAUCCCGUCUCUGGUCGUUGUCUUGCAGGCACACGGCAGGCGAUCCGAAGAGUCGAGUUGUUUGGGAUUGCAGCUCCAAAUGGGUGGUAAACUCCAUCUAAGGCUAAAUAUUGGCGAGAGACCGAUAGCGAACAAGUACCGUGAGGGAAAGAUGAAAAGAACUUUGAAAAGAGAGUAAAACAGUACGUGAAAUUGUUGAAAGGGAAACGCUUGAAGUCAGUCGUGCCGGCGGGGAUUCAGCGAACUUCGCGGAGUGAGCGUAUUUCCUCGCAUGGCAGGUCAGCGUCAGUUUUGCGCGUCGUGAAAGGGCUCGGGUAAGGUGACUCUCUUCGGGGAGUGUUAUAGGCCUGAGCAGAUGCGAUGCGCGGGACUGAGGAUUGCAGCGGACACCCUUCGGGGCGCGGCGACCGAUCCCUGCUCUGUCACCUUCGUCCGAUAGCGUGCUAACGGUCGGGGGAGCGGCGGUUGCACCGGGUUGGCAAGCCGGCGGCUUCGCUAAGGAUGCUGACGUAAUGGCUUUAAACGAC
rnacentral:rRNA from 1 species